AACCCGUGUUGUGGACAGUUACGUAUGAGGUCCUUGAAUCGCACCCAAGUCUCAAAAAAGGAUUCAAGCUCCAUCUGAACAAAUGACGAUAUCUUAUUACAAAGCUU